rnacentral:rRNA from 1 species
AAUCAACGCUGGCGGCGUGCCUAACACAUGCAAGUCGAACGCGAAAGUCCCGCAAGGGAUUAGUAGAGUGGCAAACGGGUGAGUAACACGUGGGUGACCUGCCUUCGAGUGGGGGAUAACGUCCCGAAAGGGACGCUAAUACCGCACAACAUCCUGCCUUUGAAGAGGUGGAGAUCAAAGCUGGGGACCGCAAGGCCUGGCGCUGGAAGA